rnacentral:rRNA from 1 species
UACGUAGGGGGCAAGCGUUAUCCGGAUUUACUGGGUGUAAAGGGAGCGUAGACGGCUGUGCAAGUCAGAAGUGAAAGCCCGGGGCUCAACCGCGGGACUGCUUUUGAAACUGUGUAGCUAGAGUGCAGGAGAGGUAAGUGGAAUUCCUAGUGUAGCGGUGAAAUGCGUAGAUAUUAGGAGGAACACCGGUGGCGAAGGCGGCUUACUGGACUGUAACUGACGUUGAGGCUCGAAAGCGUGGGGAGCAAACAGG